AUUGAACGCUGGCGGCAGGCCUAACACAUGCAAGUCGAACGGUAGCACAGAGGGCUUGCUCUUGGGUGACGAGUGGCGGACGGGUGAGUAAUGUCUGGGAAACUGCCCGAUGGAGGGGGAUAACUACUGGAAACGGUAGCUAAUACCGCAUAACGUCUUCGGACCAAAGUGGGGGACCUUCGGGCCUCACACCAUCGGAUGUGCCCAGAUGGGAUUAGCUAGUAGGUGGGGUAAUGGCUCACCUAGGCGACGAUCCCUAGCUGGUCUGAGAGGAUGACCAGCUACACUGGAACUGAGACACGGUCCAGACUCCGCCGGGAGGCAGCAGUGGGGAAUAUUGCACAAUGGGCGCAAGCCUGAUGCAGCCAUGCCGCGUGUAUGAAGAAGGCCUUCGGGUUGUAAAGUACUUUCAGCGGGGAGGAAGGCGAUGGAGUUAAUAGCUUCAUCGAUUGACGUUACCCGCAGAAGAAGCACCGGCUAACUCCGUGCCAGCAGCCGCCGUAA
rnacentral:rRNA from 1 species